rnacentral:rRNA from 1 species
AUGAGCAGGGUGUGCGUCACCGGAGCCGCCGGCUAUAUAGCCGCCUGGCUCGUCGGGAAGCUGCUGCAGCGAGGCUGCAUCGUCCACGCCACCUUGAGAUCCCUCCUGGAUGAGGAGAAGACGGCGGUGCUGACGGUGCUGCCUGGCGCGGCGGAGCGGCUGACGCUGUUCGAGGCGGACAUUUACAACGCCACCACCUUCGAGCCGGCGAUCCAGGGCUGCGAGUUCGUCUUCCUCGUCGCCACCCCGCUGAUGCACGACAACAGUAGCACCAAGGCAUACGUGGCAUCCAAGAGCCUGUCGGAGCAGGAGCUGCUGAGGCACAACGAAUCGGAGGGCGGCAGGGCAUUUGAGGUGGUGACAUUGGCGUGUGGGCUCGUCGGCGGUGACACGCUCCACCCUGUCUUGUCGAGCAGGAUGAGCAGUGUCACGAUGGUUGUGGCGGCCCUCACGGGCAACGAGAUCCACCACAACGCCCUCUGCUUCAUGCAGGCGCUUCUGGGGUCCGCGCCGCUGGUGCACAUCGACGACGCCUGCGCGGCGCACCUCUUCUGCAUGGACCAGCCAUCCAUGGCUGGCCGGUUCCUCUGCGCCGCCGGCUACCCCACCAUGCAGGAUUACGUCGCCCGCUUCGCGGCCAAGUACCCGGAGCACAAGAUAAUUCUCAAGGAGUUGGCAGGAGAGGGGGUGAGGGUGCCGGGUGAUUCGAGCAAGCUUGUGGAGCUGGGGUUUAGGUUCAAGUAUAGUGUGGAGGAGACGCUGGACUGCAGCGUUGAAUGCGCCAAGAGAAUGGGAGAGCUCUGA